rnacentral:rRNA from 1 species
GACGAACCGUGCAAACGUUGUUCGGAAUCACUGGGCAUAAAGGGCGCGUAGGCGGCUUAUCAAGUCAGGGGUGAAAUCCGGCAGCUUAACUGUCGAAGUGCCUUUGAUACUGAUGAGCUCGAGGGAGGUAGGGGUGUGCGGAACUUCCGGUGGAGCGGUGAAAUGCGUUGAUAUCGGAAGGAACGCCGGUGGCGAAAGCGGCGCACUGGACCUCUUCUGACGCUGAGGCGCGAAAGCUAGGGGAGCAAACGGG